AGGACGAACGCUGGCGGCGCGCCUAACACAUGCAAGUCGAGCGAGAACCAGGGCUUGCCCUGGGGAAAGCGGCGAACGGGUGCGUAACACGUGAGCAACCUGCCCCAAAGACCGGGACAACCCGAGGAAACUCGGACUAAUACCGGAUGCCCUCACCGGGCCGCAUGGUCUGGUGAGGAAAUGGAUUCCGCUUUGGGAUGGGCUCGCGGUCUAUCAGCUUGUUGGUGGGGUAACGGCCUACCAAGGCGACGACGGAUAGCUGGUCUGAGAGGACGAUCAGCCACACUGGGACUGAGACACGGCCCAGACUCCUACGGGAGGCAGCAGUGGGGAAUCUUGCGCAAUGGGGGAAACCCUGACGCAGCGACGCCGCGUGCGGGAUGAAGGCCUUCGGGUUGUAAACCGCUUUCAGCAGGACGAAUUGACGGUACUGCAGAAGAGGCCCGGCCAACUACGCGCCAGCAGCCGC
rnacentral:rRNA from 1 species